CUGGGACACAUAAAUGGAAAAGGUGGGCAGGUUAUACCAAUAGAAAAAUACUCUUCAGUGCUAGCUACCGCAGGGCUUCCAGGAACUCCUUCAGUGGUCUGGUAGAAAUCCAUGGAAACUCCAUUCUGCAACACAGCGCUGCUCUUCCUGCUUGUGGCUCUCCAGAAGAAUGGCCUACACACAACACUACCGAUCUCUUUUGCUCAAAAACAAAACAAAGAAACCUAAACGAAAGGGUAAGCGUUUAUUUGGAGUUAGUUUUCUGGUGGGUGACAUUAAGGCCCUUCACGCAGAGUUCAGGAACUCCUGAAUGGCGGCCUGCUGCUCAGGACUGAGCUGUGCUAUGCACUCAGUCCACAGUCCUCCAGAAGUCUGUACUUGGCGAACGACAUUGGCCAGACGUUUGGCACAAGGAUCUUCAUGUUUAAUUGCCUCGUGCAUUUCUCCUUCUGCAAUUAUACUGAAUAUUUUGGGCAGAUUGGUAUUGUUUGGGCCAAGAACAAUUGGAUGAUUACUUUCAAUCAGGUCACACAGAUAAUUGAAAGUCUGAACAGCUUCUUCUUUAUCUUCAUGUAGUGGAAGCCAAGACAACCAGUGUGGAAGGACCUCUUCAACGUUUACACAGUCAGGCUUGAACUUCAUGAUUUUCCCUACUGCUGAGAUGCAAUUCUCUGUAGCAUUGACAUUUUCUUUGGUCUUAGAAUCCGCAGACUGAAUAACUCUUACCAGCAGGGGAAGUGCUUCUGUACAAAAAGGGCGAUAAUUAUCUCCACCAUACUGUGCCAUGACUCCCAGGCCAUAUGCAGCUGCUUGCCUGACUUCUGGGCUGUUGUCACAUACAUAUUGGAGCAUUGGUCUUAAGAAAUAUUCUGCAUAUUUAAAUGAGGCUGGACUACAGUGUUCUAUGACAUCAUCAAAGAUGCAUAAUCCCCAUUGUCUGUCUGGCCAUGGUCUAUGUGGACAAAUGAGGUUGACAAUUAAUGGAAGCAGCUGUUCAAACCAUGGUAACACCUUUUCUUUGUAGCUACUGAAUAUUGAGUGUAAAAUAUCUGACACUUUGGUCAGAAUAUAAACAUCAUUAUCAUCCUCAUCUUGUAGUGACUCUUCGACCUGUUCAUCAUAGUCUUCAUCUUGUCUUUUAACUUGUCGUAAUUCUUGAUUUUUAAAAUGUUCUUCAAGCUUUGCUUUCAAUAUACCUCCCAGUUCUUCAAAGUGUUCAUUAUUAAGGCAUCCAUCUCCCAUUACUUCAAUGCACUUUGCAAAAGAAUGCAUUAUUUCUGAGAGGACGUCUGAAUCUGGUUCUGUACCAAUGGCCUUAAUUAGAGCAUCACACAUAAAAUGCCACAUUUGUGUGAGAUACUCAGGACCACGGACUCUUGCACACUCCAGGAGAAGAGGCAUGGAUUCCGCUGCUGCCACUCGAACACCAUCGUGGAAAUAAAAUUUCAGUAAAGGGACCAUCAGUUUGACAACCUGUUCAGUGUACUCCACAAAGCCUUCCUUUAACUCCUUAGCAUAGCAAACCAACAUCUGGCAAGCAGUUGAUUUUUCUUCUAGUCCUGCAGUUUUAAUACCAAAGCUUUGCUGAUCUCCAAGGUUCACAAAUUCCCAACCAUCAUCAUCACUCAUAUUCUCCAUGUCUUGGGUAUCUAAAAGGGCUACUUCGGGCUUAAUUGAAGCCGUCUUCAUUAAAGGCCCCAUAACCACUGGAAGGUAUUGCUGAAAUUCUUUUCCAAGGAGUUUGCACAUUCUGGCCCAUGCUGAGAUCAUGUAAGAGAUCUGAGGAUCAUCAUCUUCCAUAUCAUUGAAGUCUGUCUGGGUCUUUAACAAAAGCUGCAUCACAUCUGAUGCAUCCUGCAUGAAUUUUUCCUUCCCAACAGCCAGACCAAUGAGGCUAAUGCAUUCAAUAGUUUUUCCUCUCAGAAGUCUCAGUUCUUUUUGAACCGCAUUCUCAACGAUGUGCUUCAGUGAUGGCAUAAAUAAAUCAUAGUAGGGGACAAAUUUUUUUUCUGCAGUAUCAGCAACUGAUGCAAUGGAUGUCACAACUUGUUCCAAAACUAACUUGGUGCCUUUCUGAAUCAGCUCUUGAAGCUUCAGUACCAUAAUGGAAUGCAGAUGUUUCACCAAAUUAUCCAAGUAUGGAAUAAGUAGUGACUUGGGACAGUCUUCAGUAAAGUUAAUGAGGGCAGCAGCUGCAUGGGCCUGCACACGUUGAUUGCCUUGGUCUUCCAUGGUCUGCAGCAGAGCUGCAAUCACCUUCUCAUGAAAUUUCUUUUGGAAACCAGGUGCAAAAUCUGUAGCCAUCUGUCCCACGGCAUUACAGGCUGCAUACCUUACUCUUGGAUGAGGAUCCUGCAACUGCGUUGCUGUCAAAAUCAUCAUCUUCUAGUUCAUCUGCAUUUGCCCAGUCCUCAUCUUCUUCCAAAUCAACCAUCAUUGCUAACAUCUGAGGAAUAGUCUGUGCAACAAUAUUGGUAUGUUUUCUUAACAUAGCAGCUGCAGUCUCAGAGAGGGUGACGAUCACUUCAAGGGCAAGCUGGCGUUGCAUAUUGUUGAGGCUAGUGUCUCCACACAACUUUAGACUUAGCUGUAGAGUUGCUUCCAAGUGAGGACGCAAAUACUUUGGAACAGUAUCUGCAAUCUCAACAAGGGAUUUUAGGACAGAAUCAUCAUUCUGGUAGCACGAGUCAUUUACCGCCUGUAGGAAUCCCGGUAGCAAGUUCUUGAUGGCAGUCUGAACAUCAGAGGGAAGUGCUGGAUAGACUUCAUCAAAUGCAGAGGACAAGAGACGUCUUAGAAGAACGGCGGCCAUUUGUCUAGCCUCUUCAGCAGCUGUUGUAUUUCUGAUGGCUUGUAAGAGGAAUGUGAUCUUUGACUGGCCUGGGAUAUUCUCAUAGGUUUCCUCUGCCUGUUUCCGGACCACAUUGUCGGGGCUGAGCAGGUUUCCCAGGAGCAGGUAGAACUGUUGCUGCUCUGCCGCGGCCGCCGC
rnacentral:lncRNA from 1 species